rnacentral:lncRNA from 1 species
GGCCGUUGAAGAAUACGGUUUCUGAGAAUUUCCACUCUGAAUUCACAUUCCGUUCAGUGUUAUCGCCACCCUGUGGAUUUCUUGGGUAAUGAAACUCAGACCGGGAAAUGAAAACGGGGAUUUUCAGUAAAUCGGUUCCAGUAAAUCUCUGCUGCUCUUGUGGGCGCCCUCUUUUGAGCACCGGAGGAAUGAGCACCGUUCUUCAUUCUUUUGGUUUUGUAAAGUUGUAGAGCUGCGUUCAUAACUACCUCGCUGGCUUUGAGCACAACCCAGGAAGAAGUUUGAAACCAAGAAAAUGGUGGUUGGGAAGACCAGGAUGCGCAAUGGCAAGAAUUAAUCAGACUGAUGAAAGAAAACAUUGUAAUAUGUAUAGCUCCUCCACGAAAAGUGUGUGCUGACAACUCUGGAAUACACAGUAGGCACCCAAUACAUACAAGGGAGUAAAUGAAUGAAUUAAAGCUGUCUGUAUCUGCUGAUCAUCCACAAUUUAGACGUCCUAUACUACAUUCCAAUUGAGGGCAAGCGGGGUACGUGUCCUGAAUUUAUAGAAUCUUUUGACACAAAGCAAGAGAGCCACAGUCAAGACUCAAGUCAAAAGAAAUUUAGACCCCAUCUGGGCAAACAGGCCUCUAAGCAACAAUCUAAGAUUUCCACCUAUUGUUCUGGCAUUCCUUGUAUAAAUGAUUAUGACUGCAGAGAUCUUAGGAAGUGCUGUGGUACCUUUAGAUGUGGCCUGAGGUGCAUACAUCCUCUUAUGAUUGGCCCUGUAUUUUUCAAUUCACCUCCACAAUCCAAGGCAUAAAUAUUGGAUGGAGAAAUGGAUUCAGAUGGAGGCAUCAUUGAGCUUAUUCUUGACUCAUCUCAGUCCAAACAUUACUCUGUCAAUCGUUGUUCUUAAAAUCUGCAUAUUAAAAGCUCAGCAUCAACUA